rnacentral:snRNA from 1 species
UCGAUUCCCGGUUUCUGUA